CAACUUUCAACAACGGAUCUCUUGGCUCUCGCAUCGAUGAAGAACGCAGCGAAAUGCGAUAAGUAAUGUGAAUUGCAGAAUUCAGUGAAUCAUCGAAUCUUUGAACGCACCUUGCGCUCUUUGGCCAUUCCGAAGAGCAUGCCUGUUUGAGUGUCAUCG
rnacentral:rRNA from 1 species